UUGUCUUUUCUUGAAUCAUGACUGAAAACUUUCUUCACUGCAGAAAACCAACUCCCUUUUUUCCCCAUUUGUAAUUCCUGUUAAUUUAAAGGUAAAAAAAACUUAGAUCUUAAUAUAAAAUAUAAAACCAGAUAUCAAUCCAUAAAGAGAAAAUUAAGAAGAGAUAUAUAAGAUGAACAAACUUCAGUUAAAAGUAAUUAAAUUAACCUUAACACAUUUAAAAACCUCAUAUUUCAACAAAUGAAAUCUUAUACUAAAAGCAAACCGUUGAGAAAUAAAAAAAUAAAAAAUAAAAAUAAUGUAUAGAAAAAUUAUAAAAAAGAAACUGCAACAAAAAUUCCAAGAAAGGGUCAAAACAGAAACCAUAAACACUAGAAACAGAUCUAUGAUCAAAUGUUUACUGAAAAAUCAGUAACAACCUUUUAAUUAUUAAUGAAAAGAACUAGAAACUGAAACUAAAAUCAUAAACACCACAAAAAGGUUUGAUUUUUCAGAAAAUAUACUAAUGAAGUGAAGAAAAAUAAAAACCAAAGUCAAAAUCUCCAAUCUUAGAAGCCUUGUUAUAGCAAGAAAUUACUAAUUUUUUUUAAGAUAUUUUCUAAGAUAGUUUUAAAACCCAUAUAUAAUCAAAUUUUCUUAAUUAACAUCACAAAAUAAAAAUGCAAAUUUAGUAUGCAAUUGCAAUGUUCAAUGAAGAAAUGUAGAAGAACCCAGAUAGUAAAAUCCAAAAAAGUAUACAUUUUUAUUUUUUUGAAAAUGUGAAAUACAAUACAAAACACAAACUUGAAAAAUACUAAAAAAAAUAAGAAAAAUGAAUUAAUGUUAAACAUUGCAAAUGCAAAAAAAAAAAAUACCUUUGCUGCAUGAGAAAUGCUAAGAUUAGAUCUCUGAAAAUAAAAAUCAAAGGUAAGUGACUUACUUACUUGUUAUGACAAAAACAGAUGGAGCCCACAAAGUGCAAUGAAAUGAAAGAGAG
rnacentral:lncRNA from 1 species